rnacentral:rRNA from 1 species
GAUGAACGCUAGCGGCAGGCCUAACACAUGCAAGUCGAGGGGUAGAGUUCUUCGGAACUUGAGACCGGCGCACGGGUGCGUAACGCGUAUGCAAUCUACCUUAUACAGGGGAAUAGCCCAGAGAAAUUUGGAUUAAUGCCCCAUAGUAUUAUUAAAUGGCAUCAUUUAAUAAUUAAAGUUCCAACGGUAUAAGAUGAGCAUGCGUCCCAUUAGUUAGUUGGUAAGGUAACGGCUUACCAAGACGAUGAUGGGUAGGGGUCCUGAGAGGGAGAACGCCCACACUGGUACUGAGACACGGACCAGACUACUACGGGAGGAAGCAGUGAGGAAUAUUGGUCAAUGGUCGAAAGACUGAACCAGCCAUGCCGCGGGCAGGAAGACGGUCCUAUGGAUUGUAAACUGCUUUUAUACAGGAAGAAACCCCCCCACGUGUGGGAGCUUGACGGUACUGUAGGAAUAAGGAUCGGCUAACUCCGUGCCAGCCGCCGCUGUAAGAC